rnacentral:rRNA from 1 species
GCUUGUCUCAAAGAUUAAGCCAUGCAUGUCUAAGUAUAACUCUUUUACUUUGAAAACUGCGAACGGCUCAUUAUAUCAGUUAUAGUUUCUUUGAUAGUCCCUUACUACUUGGAUACCCGUAGUAAUUCUAGAGCUAAUACAUGCAUCAAUACCCAACUGUUCGCGGAAGGGUAGUAUUUAUUAGAUUGAAACCAAUGCAGUCUUCGGGCUGGUAUUGUGUUGAGUCAUAAUAACUGUGCGGAUCGCGUUUUACGCGAUAAAUCGAUUGAGUUUCUGCCCUAUCAGCUUUGGAUGGUAGGAUAUGGGCCUACCAUGGCAUUAACGGGUAACGGGGAAUUAGGGUUUGAUUCCGGAGAGGGAGCCUUAGAAACGGCUACCACAUCCAAGGAAGGCAGCAGG